GUACACGCUGUGACUAGCAUACCAAUAAGCGGAGGAAAAGAAACUAACAAGGAUUCCCCUAGUAACGGCGAGUGAAGCGGGAAGAGCUCAAAUUUGAAAUCUUAAAGGGUUUCCCUUUACGAAUUGUAGUUUAAAGAAGUGUUUUCUGUUGAGGUUUUGGUAAAAGUUCUUUGGAAUAGGACAUCAUAGAGGGUGAGAAUCCCGUAUUUGACCUUUACUUUCAACUUAGUGAUACACUUUCAAAGAGUCGGAUUGUUUGGGAAUGCAGUCCAAAAUGGGUGGUAAAUUUCAUCUAAAGCUAAAUAUUGGCGAGAGACCGAUAGCGAACAAGUACCGUGAGGGAAGGAUGAAAAGAACUUUGAAAAGAGAGUUAAACAGUACGUGAAAUUGUCAAAAGGGAAGCGUUUGACACCAGUGUUGUUUUUCUGAAAAUCAAUUAAAGAACUGUUUAUGCUAAGUUGUUUAGACUUUAUCAGCUAUCUGUUUAGUUUUGAGCUUUUCUUUAAUGCACUUUUCAGUUAACAAGUCAACAUCAAUUUCUUUUGCUGUAAAAAAGCUUGAGGAAGGUGGCUUGAGAUUCGUCUUAAGUGUUUAUAGCCUCUUGCCUAUGCAGUCGGAGAGAUUGAGGUCUGCAGCGUAGAUCCUUCGGGGCUAAAUGCAUUUGUGCUAAGUUAUAGCAUUUUAUAGACAACUUGUUGACUAUGAUUUGUCUUGUAGCUUACUCGCUUAUGUUAUUUUACCUACGCUUAGGAUGUUGAGUCGUAGAGCACGCAG
rnacentral:rRNA from 1 species